AUGAACGCUGACAGAAUGCUUAACACAUGCAAGUCUUUGGUGAAGCUGUGCUUGCACAGCCUAGCCAAGGCGGACGGGUGAGUAACGCGUAAGGAACUUGCCCUGCAGUCAGGGAUAACAGACGGAAACGACUGAUAAGACCUGGUAAAGUCAGGCGGACUCAUGUCCAGCCUGAUGAAAAGAGAUGCUGCAGGAGAGCCUUGCGUCCUAUUAGCUUGUUGGUGGGGUAACGGCCCACCAAGGCAAUGAUAGGUAGCCGGCCUGAGAGGGUGGACGGCCACAAGGGGACUGAGAUACGGCCCUUACUCCUACGGGAGGCAGCAGUGGGGAAUAUUGGACAAUGGGGGCAACCCUGAUCCAGCAAUUCUGUGUGCACGAUGAAGGUUUUCGGAUUGUAAAGUGCUUUCAGCAGGGAAGAAAAAAAUGACGGUACCUGCAGAAGAAGCGACGGCUAAAUACGUG
rnacentral:rRNA from 1 species